rnacentral:rRNA from 1 species
UGGGGAAUCUUGCGCAAUGGGCGAAAGCCUGACGCAGCGACGCCGCGUGGGGGAAGAAGGCCUUCGGGUUGUAAACCUCUUUUCAGGGAGACGAGAAAGGACGGUAUCCCUGGAAUAAGUCACGGCUAACUACGUGCCAGCAGCCGCGGUAAUACGUAGGCAGCAAACGUUGUUCGGAGUUACUGGGCGUAAAGAGUACGUAGGCGGUUUGCUAAGGUUGGUGUGAAAUAUCCCGGCUUACAUGGGGGG